rnacentral:rRNA from 1 species
UACGUAGGUGGCGAGCGUUGUCCGGAAUUACUGGGUGUAAAGGGCGUGUAGGCGGGGAUAUAAGUCAGAUGUGAAAUACCAUGGCUCAACUGUGGGGGUGCAUCUGAAACUAUGUUUCUUGAGUGCUGGAGAGGAAAGCGGAAUUCCUAGUGUAGCGGUGAAAUGCGUAGAUAUCCGGAGGAACACCGGUGGCGAAGGCGGCUUCCUGGACCGACACUGACGCUGAGGCGCGAAAGCUAGGGGAGCAAACGGG